rnacentral:rRNA from 1 species
UACGAAGGGGGCUAGCGUUGCUCGGAAUCACUGGGCGUAAAGCGCACGUAGGCGGGUCGUUAAGUCAGGGGUGAAAUCCUGGAGCUCAACUCCAGAACUGCCUUUGAUACUGGGGAUCUCGAGUCCGGGAGAGGUGAGUGGAACUCCGAGUGUAGAGGUGAAAUUCGUAGAUAUUCGGAAGAACACCAGUGGCGAAGGCGGCUCACUGGCCCGGUACUGACGCUGAGGUGCGAAAGCGUGGGGAGCAAACAGG